UUGAAGAAAUUAUUCAGUCUUUAAAAUCGUAACUUGAAAAUAUUCCUGAUCAGGAUAUAGAUGUCAUCUCUUAGCCAGCCUAGCCUUCACAAGGCAUCAGUUUACAGACAAGCUGGGAGAAAGAUUCAUGAGGAAUAAACAGAAUACUGUACAGAAAAUGGUAGUUAUGGGAUGAGACAGUCCAGCUCUCCUGGGCCUCUGAAGUGCCUACACAUCUUGCUGAGUGUGCCAAGACUGCAAGGCCUGAUUAGGGCUUUGCCUGAGCCACUUCUCAGCAUUUAUAUCGCUAGUUAAGCCUGGGGACGAGAAGCAGGUUUGCUGUAAAAGUGUUGGAUUCCUUGCACUCUGCUGGUCAGCUGUGACACAGACCGCAGCAUGCUUGGCAUUCAUCCAGGCCCGCGGUGUUGCCUGUGGGAACUGGCAUAAAUAUGCUGACACUCCCUCUGCGUGCUGCACACCCUGAGUGGUAGAGGCCUUUGCCUCUGAGCAAGGAUCCUGUGUCUUCUGUCAGCACCCACAAAACUGACAGGCUGACUUACUGGGUGAAAUCAAACCUCAGACCUGAUUGUUUCAGCAGCAAGGAUUGGAAUGCUGACAGAGACACACCUUUCUGGAAGGUGAACCACUGGGCCAGGUUUGGGAAUAUUAGAUUCCCUGGAAUCAGUCUGGUAGUCAAUGCUGUCACUCAACAUAGAUUAAAGAUGGGGGGAGGAUAAGUGUUCCCACUGGCCUAGCUUUUACUGAACAGGAGUUGAGUUAAUGUUUACAGGCUGAAUGGUAGAAAUAGGGUUGAAACAAACUGUCCGAAUGUGCCUUGAUUGUUGCUGACUCUGGCAUGCAGAGAAGAAGGAAUGUUUUCAUGACAAAGGGCCAGCAGUUCCUGUGAGGGACAGAAGGUGCCGAGGACUACAGAGUUGUGCAUGUGAAGAAGAAAGGAGCCCCUAGACUGUAGUUUGCUCUGAUACUGGCAGGCAUCACCACUGCCAUAGGAGAGAGAGUUGUGCAGAUCUUCAGGCACUGCCAGGGAGCAAGGGGUGGGGGAAGGGGGAAAGACCAAAACAAUUCAGUUUCCCCCCCAGCAGCCAACCUCCCCCACCCCUGGCUUCGUUACCCUCUCAGCUAAGGGACAAGGUGAUGUGGCAUCCAUUUGCCACCUUUUGUUAUAUGGCUCCUGACUCAUGCAGUUCAGACUCUUCAGCUCGGAAAAGGGCAUUUCUCCUUAGUGGAGAAGGGAGGCUUCCCUUGUGGUUGAGCUCUUUGGCUGAUUGACUGUCAUGCUGCUCCCAGCUCUGAAGCUCUAAUGGGAUUGACGUGUUACAUGCCCACAGGUCCCUGUCUAAGUGUCAGCGGGGCUGUUCUUGUUUAGGGACUGCUACCUGCCUCAAGGUGAGAGUGGGACCUGAGUCCCUCCCCGUUCUGCUGCUUUGUCUCUCUGGUGGUCCAGCUGUUUCAGUACGAUAAAGUCCAGCAAGAGAAAGGGAAGUCACUCCUUUUGUUAAAGACUUGGUAGCAGCCCAAGCACUCAAGCCAUUUCCCAGCAUGACAUUGCAGCCUGCCUGACCCAGCCACCCGGUACUCCAGUCGGCUCCUAGGCUCUUCUUGAAACUGAAGCCUGACCCCUGGAGGCCUUGGGAGUCACUGAUGUGACAUCUCCACUUUGGGGUGGGUUGCCUGGCAACCAACGGGGACCCAACAGGCCUUGCAAGUCAAACAAAUGGUAAGUUAGCACAGCCAGCCUCCUGCUGCAACAAGUAUUUUGACUACAUGAAAAAUCAGUCGCUAUCUUUGGGGGGAUAUUUUGUGUAUAUCUUCACUUCCUAAAGAAAAGCCACUGGCUUCAUCAGGGGUCUCAGUCCACAGAAUGCCUGGGUUUGGUUCAGUUGUUUAUUAGCAACUUUAGGAAAGCCCGGCAAUAUUUUCCUACAGCUGUAAAUAAUUGUGAAAUUGUGAAGUAUUCUAAAAAUAUGGCAAGGCAAAGGAACUGAAACCGCUAAAACUAUUUUGGAAAAGAAAAAGUGGGAAAAGUCAUUCUACCCAUUUUCAAAACUACAGUAAUCAAAACUGAUACUGAUAGAGGGAUAGACACAUACAUUGAUAGAACAGAGAAUCGAAAAUAGUCUCCUUCCCACAUCACCAACUGAUUUUGACAAAUGUACAACAAUGCUACAACAGAGGAGGGACAGUGAUACUAAAUAAGGCAGUCAAAAAUAUGAAUCACUAAACUGCACACUAUACAAAACUUGAACUAGAUUAUAGAUAAUAUAAAACUUUUGAAAAAACUUCAGAAAAAAGUAACAAUAUCUGUAUGUUCUAGAUUAAGCAAAGGAUCUUACACUUGGUACCAAAAGCAUGAGCCAUAAAAGGAAAAAUUUAUAAAUUGGGCUUAAUCAAAAUUUAUAGCUUUGUUCUGCAAAAGACCUUACGAAGAAGAUGAAAAGUCAGGCUACAGACUGGGAGGAAAUGUUUGCAAACCACAUAUCAAGAAUAUAUAAAGAACUCUCUAAACAGUAAAAAGAUAGACAAUCCAAUAUAAAAUGGAAAAAAGACAUUUCAGCAAAGAAGAUGUUUAGCUAACAAAUAAGCACCUGAAAAAAAUAUUUAACAUCACUACCCAGUAGGAAAUGCAUGUUUAAACCAUAGUAAGACACGCUACUGGAAAAGGAAAUGGCAACCCACUCCAGUAUUCUUACCUGGAGAACCCCAUGGACAGAGGAGCCUGGCGGGCUACAGUCUGUGGGGUCGCAGAGUCAGACACAACCGAGGGAUUAACACAAGGCAGACUACACAUGUACCAGGAUGGCUAAAAUGAUUAGCAGUAUCACCAAAUGCUGCCAGGGAUGCCGCUGGGUCACUCAUACACUGCCUGUGGGGACGUAAAACAGGACAGCCUCCCUGGGAAAUAGCUGAAGAGUUGUGCUAAAAACUAACUACACUAACCAUAUGACCAAGCAUUUGUGCUCUUGGAUAUUGAUAACAGAGAAGUAAAAAUUUAGGUCCACAAAACCUGUAUGCAAUUGUUCAUAGCAGCUUGAUGCCAAACACUGAAGUCCACCAAAAUGUCCUAUAGUAACAUCAUGAUUUACUGCAAUAAAUGGAAUAUUUAAGGGGUGAACUAGUGACACAGCUUGUAACAACUUGAAUGGAUCUCAGGGGCGUUCUGAGUGAAAAUCAUCUCAGCAUGUCACACACUGUGGUUUCAUCCAUUUGCCGUUUUUAAAUGACAGAAUAAUAUAGAUGGAAACAAAUCAGUGGUUACCAUGAGUUAGGGAUGUUGGAGGGGAAAGGAGCUAUGUGUGUGACUAUAAAGGGAUAGAAAAGAGGACAUCUUUGUGGUGAUGGAACAGUCUGUAUCUUGGUUACAAUAGGGGCUACAUGCGUUUACAUGUGAUAAAAUGACAACUAUACAUACAUACUGUACCCAGUAUGAGUUGACUGGUUUUGAUAUUGUACAUUAUGUAAGAGGUAACCACUAGGGGGCAAGAGUACUCUCUCUGAAGUACCUUUGCGACUUCGUGUAAAUCUAUAAUUAUUUCAAAAUAAAACUUUAAAAAUGUAAAAGGAAGCAGGCUAAAUUUGGUGUGUGUUGUACAUUUGCUGACCCCUGCUUUAGUGCAACAAUCAGAUAAACGUUACCUUAGUGCAUUAUGAGUUAUCAAAGUGCUACAACUUGCAAACCAUUGAUGAUUUUACAUUUUCAGCAGUUGAUUCGUUUCAAGGACUUUGAUUAAGCAAAAGAUACCGAAACUGCCAACAUUUGUGUCAAAUACAUGGCAUGGCAUUUGGGCCACUGACAUUCUUUAAGUGACAUACCACUGUUAAAAAUGCCGUGGCUAACAGCAUACUAGCCUUUAACAUGAGUAGUUUCACUAGGGUCCAUUUGUGUAUGAUAGAUUUGCUCAGCAAACCACGCCCAAAGGUAAAUGAGGGAAUACCCAUUUGGGAUAACACAAAGAACAAAAUCUAAAAGUAAAUUAUAGGCCCAGCAUUUGUGAGCAUUAUGAAAGUAUAACCUAAAUUUUUCUAUGGAUUCUUUUUCUUUAAGCUUCCAUUGCCCCACUCUGGACACCUUGGGUUGACUUUACAGAUGUGCUAUCCAUCACAGAAUUUGGGACCACUCCUGACAGAUUUUCAAAUCAUGGACUGUCUUCUCAAAAGAUGAAUUUCUAUCCUUGAGAACAAAGUAAUCUACUCAUUUCAUAGACUGACCCUAAAAGGUUACAUCCAUCUUCAGGACUUUGCUGGUAAUAAGAGAGUACCAACACUAUAUAACGAAAUUCUACCACAGGAGUGGAGAUAUGGCUAAUUUGAAACAGGUAAUCAAAUUCAGAUUUCCCCACCAACUUAUCUUCUUACAUUGUGUGUAUUUUUAUAAGCUGCCUCAACACUGAUGUGGAACCAGGUGAAAAGCAAAUGAAUUGGAAGAUUUUUCCACACAAAAAAAGGAAUGAACUUAAUAAUGAGAUGAAAAUAUAUUUCAGAGGUGAAUGACAACGGAUGCUAAAGAGGUUUACUUACAAAUAAUCCCAGGAGAAUGUAAUUCGCAGGCACCUGGCGGCGGAGUUUCCCACAGCAGGCAAGUAUAAUAAAUACAACGAAAAAG